CUUGGCCCUUAUCAAAGCCAUCUUGCUCUCCUUUGGUUGCAUAUGUGGUCAAAAAGGAGCCAAUAUUGACCCUUCUGACGGUCGCUAAUCCGUUUGGUAUGUAGCGGAACAGCAACAUUACAGGGAAUGACAGUC